rnacentral:rRNA from 1 species
CAGCGCCACAAGUGGCAACCGCGAUUAUUGGGCCUAAAGCGUCCGUAGCCGGUUUGGUAAAUCUUUUGUGAAAUUGUACAGCUCAACUGUACAGCGUGCAAGAGACACUGCCAAACUCGAGACCGGGAGGAGUCAGAAGUAUUCCAGGGGGAGCGGUAAAAUGUUAUAAUCCCUGGAGGACUACCUGUGGCGAAGGCGUCUGACCAGAACGGAUCUGACGGUGAGGGACGAAAGCCAGGGGAGCGAACCGGAUUAGAUACCCGAGUAGUCC